CCACUUCUAAAACCGACUAAUGGUCGGACCUGACAACGGAAAAGCCUUUGAGUCCGACAGGAAGUCGUCGGCCGAAACUCACGACCGACCACCCCCUGUGGCAACCUCACUCAUCGAAAAUACUCAAGGAAUCUAGACUGAGGAAAGCGACAAGAGGUGAUUUUUGCUCAACAGCUGCUCUCCAACAGAGCCCUCUUUCCAAAAAAGACAAAAUGAGGAAUGAGUACCUGACUGACAGAGUCCCUUUAUAUAGGAAUGCCUGACAGCCCAGAUGAAAGCGG
rnacentral:lncRNA from 1 species